GUCCACUCCAACGGGUCACCUGUACAGCAAGAGCAAGAGUGUGAGCUGGUGUAAACAAAGCCCCGCGUAGUGGACGACUGGUGUGUGGCUCGCCCCUGGAUCUGGAUCUGGAUUAAUGAUGCGCAGAGCACCCGUACAGUGCCGAUGACCUGCUGCCAGAACGACGGCCUGCCAACACCCGCCACGCUGACGGGGCUGUGGAGGCCCUGACAUACUCCACAAGUAGAGAAAAGUGCACUGUGAGGGUGUUGUCCUGAGCAGCAGGAGGCGAGGCAGAAGGAGAGUGUGACGCAUCUCAAGGGGCCCUACAAACCUUCUUGAAUCUCUUAUAUUGAAUCUGAAUCAAGGUAGGCUAUAAUUUAAUGACUACUUACCAAUGAUUGAACAGUAUUAAAUCUGCGGGCGAAACACCGCUGGAUGGCAGAGAGUGGUGCUGGCUGGUUGCUGGCAGGAAGGCAGGAGGGGACGCGGGUGAUGAUGCUGACGAUGGUUUGGCAGGAAAUUUGGUUUUAUGUUCUUGGAAGGCACUCACAAAUUAUGCCGUGCAAAGCUGUUUAUCAUUUCCUUAGUUAAAUACACUGUACACUGUACAGUGCGAGUAGUACGGUGCACAACUAUAUGUAUAUAGUUUGGUCAACAUUUUAUUUAUUUAUUUAUUUUUUUUCCUUUAUUCCAAUUUUGGAUCUUUGUCAGUGAAAACCGGGGACAUUUCCGGGGACAGCAGUAGCCGGGGACAGGUCACUGAAAACGGGGACUGUCCCCGGAAACCGGGGACGUCUGGUCACCCUAUGUUAGCAGCUCACCCUGCAGCAGCCUGUCGCCAUAGCCACACCGCAUGCACAAACACAUACGCUCUCCACCACUGAAAGUUACUACACUUUCGUCAUAUCUCAGCACACACGCAGUGCAGAGACUUCUGGUUGGCUUCACUCGAAAGAGGAAGACUUGAAGGAAAGUAAUAAUGUGUUUUUAAGUGAGUUAAGAGGUUAAGAGUGAGUGCGAUGGAAAGUAGAGUAAAAAUCUGCAGAUUUGCACUCACCCAGCCGUACUUUAGCGUAGCAGGUGGGUGAGUGGGAAAACUUGUACAAGCUCAAACCUGCUGACCUUUAGGGGUUAAUGCCCUAGAAGAGUGCCAGUCCAGGGUAGAGUCCCUUGAUAGAGAGAGUACCGACAUAGGCGGCCCUGUGUAUAAGGCUGCUGGGCGCCAUUAUUGGCCCCUCGAGCACCAUGCCGACUUUGAACUGAGGUAAUAAAAACAUAGGACAAUUUACAGUUUAACCCAACCAACGAUUUUGUCAUGUGGUUCAUGUUUUUCUGGUGAUAAAUGUAGUGAAUAGCAUGAUUUUGUACCUCAUUUCUGUCGCAAAUGUCUACUUUUUGAGUUAUGCCUUUUCAAGUUACAAGUUGGCAUUCAGUCAUUUUGCACACAUGCCAUUUCACCACACCAUGGAGUCAUUUCACCCAAGGUUACGGGUGGUACAUUUACCUCCCACUUGUUUUCCACGCAUUUCAAUUGAAAAAUUAACAUCUGUGCACAUAAGGCUAGUAUCAGAAAAAUAGCUGCAAAGGAUCUAUCGGAAAAAAAAUAUUGGGAUUUGCAGGGUACAAUAUUCACUCUUU